UCGGACGCGCACAAGGCGGCGGUCAUCGGCGACACCAUCGGCGACCCGCUCAAGGACACCUCCGGCCCGUCGCUCAACAUCCUCAUCAAGCUCAUGGCCGUCGAGGCGCUCGUCUUCGCGCCAUUCUUCGCCGCGCACGGCGGCCUCAUCUUCAAGCACCUCUGAGUUUGAAUUCCGAGUUCGCUCGGCUUGCUGCCUGGACCUGGAUGGCCAAGCAGAAGGCUUUCGUUGCCAAUAAUAACCUCUAGACUGGGAGAAUUGUAUGAGGUGAUGAAUGGUUAAUGGUUACUUUAGUUUCGGACUUUAUUCGAGUGCAAACCCGCCUUAGAAAUAAGCUCGUGGUGUAGCAAAUAGUCACUCUUAAGGCAUGACUUCUAAAUGCAGCAUGGAUGCUCGUCUCCGGGCCUUCAGCAGAGUGCCAUCACCGUGAGGCUGUGUUUGGCGCCGGUGGAUUAUCUUAAUCUUGCUUGUUUAAUCUCUCUGAUUUACUUCCUCCGUCCCAUAAUAUA
rnacentral:lncRNA from 1 species